UGUAAUUUGAGGGUCCAGAAGCUGACGACGCAGGGAGGAGAGGUCUUGUUUGAGAUUGAGGGUCGUGGAGCUGCAGACCCAGGCAGGAGCAAUGUUGUUUUAGUUUGAGGGUCCGGAAGCUGGCAAACCAGGGAAAAGAGGUCUUGUUCUAGCUAAGGGUCGUCGAGCUACAGAUCCAGGGAGGAGCAGUGUUGUAGUUCGAGUCCGGAAGCUGGCGACCCAGGGAGGAGAGGUCUUGUUGUAGUCUUGGUGUCUAGUGUGAGGGUGGUGGAGCUGUACACCUGGGGAGGAGCUGGUACU
rnacentral:lncRNA from 10 species